rnacentral:rRNA from 1 species
GACGAACGCUGGCGGCGUGCUUAACACAUGCAAGUCGAACGGAGUGGCGAACGGGUGAGUAACACGUGGGUGACAUGCCCUGCACUUCGGGAUAAGCCUGGGAAACUGGGUCUAAUAACGGAUAGUGUGGGAUGGGCCCGCGGCAUAUCAGCUUGUUGGGGGGGUAAUGGCAUACCAAGGCGGCGACGGGUAGCCGGCCUGGGAGGGUGGACGGCCUCCUGAGGACUGCGGCACGGCCCAGACUCCUACGGGGGGCAGCAGUGGGGAAUAUUGCGCAAUGGGCGUAAGCCUGAUGCAGCGACGCCGGGUGGGGGAUGACGGCCUUCGGGUUGUAAACUCCUUUCACCAUCGACGCGGUAGAUGGAGAAGAAGCACCGGCUAACUACGUGCCAGCAGCCGCGGUAAUAC